AUAAGUUGUGAGGUGGUAUCUAGUAUCGAGUGAAAUUGAUGCUCAUGGUAAGGUGUGUAGAAAGAAUUAUAGGAGUUGUAAUGAGGGCUGAUAGUGGGUGCAGGUGAAUUAUAGGAGUUGUAGUGAGGUCUAAUAGUGGGUACAGGUGAAUUAUGGGAGUCGUAGUGAGUGAGUAAGUACAGGUGAAUUAUGGGAGUUGUAGUGAGGGCUGAUAGUGGGUGCAGGUGAAUUAUAGGAGUUGUAGUGAGGUCUAAUAGUGGGUGCAGGUGAAUUAUGGGAGUUGGAGUAAGGUCUGAUAGUGGGUGCAGGUGAAUUAUGAGAGUUAAAGUGAGGGCUGAUAGUGGGUGCAGGUGAAUUAUGGGAGUUAAAGUGAGGGCUGAUAGUGGGUGCAGGUGAAUUAUGGGAGUUAUAUUGAGGGCUGAUAAUGGGUGCAGGUAAAUUAUGGGAGUUAUAGUGAGGGCUGAUAGUGGGUGCAGGUGAAUUAUGGGAGUUGGAGUGAGAGCUGAUAGUGGGUGCAGGUGAAUUAUAGGAGUUGUAGUGAGGUCUAAUAGUGGGUGCAGGUGAAUUAUGGGAGUUGGAGUAAGGUCUGAUAGUGGGUGCAGGUGAAUUAUGAGAGUUAAAGUGAGGGCUGAUAGUGGGUGCAGGUGAAUUAUGGGAGUUAAAGUGAGGGCUGAUAGUGGGUGCAGGUGAAUUAUGGG